rnacentral:rRNA from 1 species
AUGGGUGUUCACUGGAUUUACCCGCAUGAUGGGCGACAAACAUCCACAAACCGUGCUCACAGAUCAAUGCAAGGCGAUGGAAGUAGCAAUAGAGAAAGUGAUGCCAUACACGACUCACCGUUGCUGCAAGUGGCACGUGCAAUUGGUAAUUUCAUGGGGCUAAAAGCUCCAGAACGAAAACAAAAGCCCGGUCGACCAAUCACUUGCAGGGAUAAACCUCCGUAUGAUGAUCGUGGUGCAAAAAGCAAGAAGUACAUACUGACAGCAAAUGCACAAGCUGGAAAUGGAUGCGGGACAAGUAAACGAACUCGCUUCUCCAGUAUAUGUUGA